rnacentral:rRNA from 1 species
CCUACGGGAGGCUGCAGUGGGGAAUAUUGCACAAUGGGGGAAACCCUGAUGCAGCAACGCCUCGUGAGCGAUGAAGGCCUUCGGGUCGUAAAGUUCUGUCCUAAGGGAAGAAUACCGACGGUACUUUAGGAGGAUGCCCCGGCUAACUACGUGCCAGCAGCCGCGUUAAUACGAAGGGGGCUAGCGUUACCCGGAAUUACUGGGCGUAAAGGGUGCGUAGGGGGCCCUAAAAGUCAGAAGUGUAAGGCUACGGCUCAACUGUAGUAAGCCUUUGUAACUGUAGGACUUGAGUUCAGGAGAGGAGAGUGGAAUUCCCAGUCUAGCGGUGACAUGCAUAGAUAUUGGGAGGAACACCAGUAGGGAAGGCGGCACUCUGGACUGUAACUGAAGGUGAUGCACUAAAGCGUGGCGAGCGAACAGGAUUAGAUACGCCAGUAUUU